AUACGGAGGGUGCAAGCGUUGUUCGGAUUCACUGGGUAUAAAGGGUGCGCAGGCGGUCUGAUAAGUCAGAGGUGAAAUAUGUCGGCUCAACCGGCAAACGGCCCCUGAAACUGUCAGACUUGAGUCCGGGAGAGGUAGGCGGAAUUCCAGGUGUAGCGGUGAAAUGCGUAAAUAUCUGGAGGAACACCGGUGGCGAAGGCGGCCUACUGGCCCGGAACUGACGCUCAGGCACGAAAGCAUGGGGAGCGAACGGGAUUAGAAACCCCAGUAGUCC
rnacentral:rRNA from 1 species